GACGGAGGUCCCGAGCGUUGUUCGGAAUUAUUGGGCUUAAAGCGCGUGUAGGCGGGACGGUAAGUACCUUGUGAAAUCCCCGGACUCAAUCCGGGAACUGCUUGGUAUACUGCCGACCUUGAGGCAGGUAGGGGUCACUGGAACCUUAGGUGGAGCGGUGAAAUGCGUAGAUAUCUAAGGGAACGCCUGUGGCGAAAGCGGGUGACUGGGCCUGUUCUGACGCUGAGACGCGAAAGCGUAGGGAGCAAACGGG
rnacentral:rRNA from 1 species